rnacentral:rRNA from 1 species
UACGGAGGGGGCUAGCGUUGUUCGGAAUUACUGGGCGUAAAGCGCACGUAGGCGGCUUUGUAAGUUAGAGGUGAAAGCCCAGGGCUCAACCCUGGAAUUGCCUUUAAGACUGCAUCGCUUGAAUUGUGGAGAGGUAAGUGGAAUUCCGAGUGUAGAGGUGAAAUUCGUAGAUAUUCGGAAGAACACCAGUGGCGAAGGCGACUUACUGGACACAUAUUGACGCUGAGGUGGCGAAAGCGUGGGGAGCAAACACG